AACAAAGUCGCUAGGUUUGCAACUACGUGUCCCAGACUGCAUCCCUGCUGAGAGUCCCUCCCUCCCUUCUCAUGUUGCAGGAAGAACGUAAGCGCCCCCCUUGUCAAUCAGUCACCAUAUAAUUUUGGAUUGGUUGUUGUGGUGAAGUUUUCCACCAAUAGGAGAGAUGUUGUGGUGUGUUUUUUUUUUCUUUUGGCAAGCCUUUUCCGCCUGUAAGAGCUGUCGCUAAUGUCUGCAUGCUAUGUUUUCCUGUCUCAUACAGCGCGAUCGAGCGCCGAACGUGAUCAAAAUAAGCAGAAAAAAAGUAUCGCGGACAUAAUUUAUCAUAACUCUGGUUUUAUUUGGCCUAUCAACACAAUUUAAAAACUGGUAUAUAGGUUGAGGUCCUCACUUUUGAGAUAAGUUGAAACGGAGAGUCAACGAGGCUCCGUCUUGCAGCUACAUCCGGUUAAAUAUGUCAUGUGACUUGAACGCACACACAGACACACACACACGCACACACACACACACACACACACACACACACACACACACACACACACACACACACACACACUCAGAGUCUGGUUUUUAGCACCUGCAAAAACAUGCUAUUUACAUAUUUGACAAGAAUGCAGAGGCUCCUUUUGCCCCUGAAAAAAAUCAAAUUUCAAACACAACUUGACUGGUCAUUUCUCCAAAAGACAACCAUGAAGCUCCAUCCAAACCUGAAGCAGGCAGUCGGUGCAUGUGUACAGUAACCUGAGGGGAGUGAGGUGAGUGCUUCUGAGGAGAACAUGAGCAGUGAAGAUUCACCUUGGAGCUAGAACAGAGACAUGCACAUGAUUAUACAGGGGCAGGGGCUCAAGUUUUUUCCAGUCGUUUAUACAAUAUGGAAAUUAAUGUGAAAUUAAAACACAAAGUAUUAAUAGAAAGGUAAUGACUGUCCUGUGUAGGUGACAGUGAUAUCCAAUAGGCUAGGCACUCACGAGGCUGGCUGUGGCAAGUGUAAGUGAAAGCAACACGCACUGGCAGGAAGAACAGCAAACGCAGAUGAAGGAAAAGGGUCUUUGCAGUGAUGGGCGUUACCAGAGAGGGCGAUGGCCAGAGGACACAAAUGGGACGGGGAGGCAGCACGUUGGGGGGGGGGGGGGGGGGGACGCGACACGGCUCGGGCCCGCCAGUGCCCCAACGGGGUCCUAGUUAUUUUUCCUCCGCUUUAAACUGGAAAAUGGCCCACUUCCCACUGGCGAAAACUCAGGAAAUUUGGCAGGACGACCGGGCCUGGUGAAAAAUUCGAUAUUCUGAAGUCGCCCAAACAAAAAAAUGAAAAAUGGCUCCAUAGCGCCCCCUAUGGUGAAAACUCACCUGACGCCUGUACGCUUUGUCAAAAUGACACAAAAUUUGACACACAUGUGUAUCUCAAUAAGAUCUACGAAAAAGUCAGUGCGGGCGCAUCUGUGAAAUGUACGGUUAGAGGGUUAUUUCGCAUUUUUUGCAGAUCUGCACACAUUGGAAUUUCGCUAACUCCUCCGAAGGCAUUCGUUCCACCGGCACCACAUUUGCUCAGGCCAAUCUACACCCCAUGGCCAUUAAAAGUUGUACAAAUCAUGACGCUGCACCCCACGGUUUACGUUCUAGGGGGCGCCAAAGAUAACCCACAAAUCCACAUUCUUAAAAAUCUUAUAACUUUUUAUUUUUGUCCUCAUUGGCCUCCAAGUUUUCUAGGAUGAUGCAAUGUCCAGCCAUCAACACAUUUGUGAAGGAAUUUUUACUCCCCAAAACAGCGCCCCCCCCCCCAUGGCAGGACAAAAAAGGCCAUUUUUUCUUGUCCCCUAAGGUGAAAAUACACAUUGUUCAGUGUCACGCCUAUACGCUUUGUCAUAUUGACACAAAAUUUGACACACACGUGUAUCUCAAUAAGAUCUACGAAAAAGUCAAUGGGCACAUAUCUGUAAAAUGUACGGUUAAAGGGCUAUCUUGCAUUUUUUGCCGAUUCGCACACAUUGGAAUGUGGCUAACUCCUCCUAAGGCUUUCGUUCUACUGACACCAAAUUUGCUCAGGCCAAUCUACACCCCAUGGCCAUUCAAAGUUGUACAAAUCAUGACGCUGCACCCCACGGUUUAGGUUCUAGGGGGCGCCAAAGAUGACCCAAAUAUCCACAUUUUUAAAAGUCUUAUAACUUUUUAUUUUUGUCCUCACUGGCCUCCAAGUUUUCUAGGAUGAUGCAAUGUGCAGCCAUCAACACAUCUGUGAAGGAAUUUUUUCUCCCCAAAAGAGCGCCCCCCCCCCCCCAUGGCAGGAGAAAAAGUCAAGUUUUUCCAGCCCAUCGCUUAAUGGCUCAAACGCAUUGCUCUCCCGCUAAAACCAAAAGGAGGAGCAACUUGCCAUUUGGAUAUGUCCUAGCUGUGUUUGUGCCCUCACUCAUGGUCCAGAGUUUUUUCAAAUAGGACAUGUAGUUUGUCUGCAGCGAGCGUUUUGGUAGAAACUGUGCCUCCCAUUCAUUAUAAUGGGAAAUGACCAAAGACAGGUGCGCACACCAUCUUUGGACCUUGACUUUGACGUCACAGUUUGAGAUACAAAUGUUAUUUGACCUCUGACCUUUGGUGGACACCCUAACCUU